UACAGAGGGUGCGAACGUUGUUCGGAAUUACUGGGCGUAAAGCGCAUGUAGGCGGCAACGCAAGUCGGGCGUGAAAUCCCACGGCUCAACCGUGGAAGUGCACUCGAAACUGCGUAGCUAGAGUCCUGGAGAGGAAGGUGGAAUGCUUGGUGUAGAGGUGAAAUUCGUAGAUAUCAAGCGGAACACCGGUGGCGAAGGCGGCCUUCUGGACAGUGACUGACGCUGAGAUGCGAAAGCGUGGGGAGCAAACAGG
rnacentral:rRNA from 1 species